rnacentral:pre_miRNA from 1 species
UUGAUUUAAAUCAUUGUGGAUCUACACUUUGAAAAUAAAACCCACUAAAAGUGAUGGGACAAACAUUAAUUUCAUCCAA